rnacentral:tRNA from 1 species
GCCGACGUGGCUCAACGGUAGAGCGGGGCUUUCGUAAAGCUCAGGUUGUGGGUUCGAUUCCCACCGUCGGCUCCA